AACUUCCAGAAGGAACACUAGCCUUCCAAUACAUUGAUAUGGGACCAAGAAAAUCAAUUUGAGACUUCUGACCUCCACAACUAUAAGGGAUUCCAGUUAUGGGCUACAGGGAUUUUAUGAACUACUCAAAAUUAUAGUCCAUCUGUUGAAGGCGGCAACAUCACAGGAUGGAAUUCUUUGGCAUCCUUGCGUAACUUUCUCAUAGGAAGCCAUGCAAAAGAGAGGUACCCUAUUAUGAAGAACUGUACUGAUUGUCAUAUGAAAAAUAAACAAUUUUCACGUUGAUUUAAACCACAAAACAAAAGAGAGCAUUUAACCUGUUGGUUUCAUGAAGAUUUGGGGUUUAUCAGAAAGUAGUACUAGAAAAAGACAAGAAAAAUAUGGGCAUAUACAAUAAAGUAAUUAUCAGGAUUGAUAUUGAAAUUUAGGUCAGA